AGACAUAAAACAUGUGGUGGUGAGCUUAACGUAUCCCUUGCUUCCAACUCAGAGCCCAUGAAUGUUGACAAUCAGGCGCCUGGAUCGGGUAGAGCCCGGAGAGAUGCUGCAGCACGUGCAAUGCAGGGUUGGCACUCACAACGUCUUCUUGGUAAUGGAGAAGUUAGUGAUCCUAUCAUUAAGGAUAAGAAUUCUCUGUCUUUACAAAAGCGUGAAAAACAGCUUAAAAGCUUAGGUUUACUUAAACGCAAGAAAUCGUCUUACAUGGAACAUGCUGUUAAAGCUGCACGCACCAAAACAUCUAAACCACAAUUGGAUGUAGAGGUGGUUGACCUUGGACCUCCAGCUGAUUGGGUGAAGAUCAAUGUACAGAGAAUGAAAGAUUGCUUUGAGGUAUAUGCUUUGGUACCAGGGCUUCUUCGUGAAGAGGUUCGAGUUCAAUCAGACCCAGCAGGGCGAUUGGUUAUCAGUGGUGAACCUGAGCAUCCUGAUAANNNNNNNNNNNNCACCGUUCAGAAAGGUGGUUAGCUUACCCUCGAGGAUUGACCCACAUCAAACUUCCGCUGUGGUCACCCUGCACGGACAACUAUUUAUUCGUGUCCCAUUUGAGCAGUCAGACUAGAUAGGAGUUUCACAAAUGUCUAUUGUCCAUUCCCUCCAAUAUUUCUAUUAAGUGGGUGUGCCUACAUUUUUAGUUUUGAACUCUGAUGUAUGUUUCUCCUAAUAGGUAAUAGAUUAUUAUAAUUUCUUAAUAUUUAGCUAGGAGGCUUUUCAAAUAGGACACGAAUAAAUAGUUGUCCG
rnacentral:misc_RNA from 1 species